rnacentral:sRNA from 1 species
AAACUUGGAGAUCGUAUAAGUACCUGAAUUAGAGAAGCAGC